rnacentral:rRNA from 1 species
UACGUAGGGUGCGAGCGUUAAUCGGAAUUACUGGGCGUAAAGCGUGCGCAGGCGGUUGUGCAAGACAGGUGUGAAAUCCCCGGGCUUAACCUGGGAACUGCGCUUGUAACUGGCAAGCUUGAGUGUGGCAGAGGGGGGUGGAAUUCCACGUGUAGCAGUGAAAUGCGUAGAGAUGUGGAGGAACACCGAUGGCGAAGGCAGCCCCCUGGGCUAACACUGACGCUCAUGCACGAAAGCGUGGGGAGCAAACAGG